GGAUUCCCCUAGUAACUGCGAGUGAAGCGGGAAAAGCUCAAAUUUAAAAUCUGGCGGUCCCUGUGGCCGUCCGAGUUGUAAUUUAGAGAAGCGUUAUCCGCGCUGGACCGUGUACAAGUCUCCUGGAAUGGAGCGUCAUAGAGGGUGAGAAUCCCGUCUUUGACACGGACUGCCAGGGCAUUGUGAUGCGCUCUCGAAGAGUCGAGUUGUUUGGGAAUGCAGCUCAAAAUGGGUGGUAAAUUCCAUCUAAAGCUAAAUAUUGGGGAGAGACCGAUAGCGAACAAGUACCGUGAGGGAAAGAUGAAAAGAACUUUGGAAAGAGAGUUAAACAGUACGUGAAAUUGCUGAAAGGGAAACGCUUGAAGUCAGUCGCGUCGUUCAGGACUCAGCCUUGCUUUUGCUUGGUGUACUUCCUGUUCGAUGGGUCAGCAUCAAUUUUGGUCGGUGGAAAAAGGCUUAGAGAAUGUGGCAUCUUCGGGUGUGUUAUAGCUCUGGGUCGCAUACAUCGGCUGGGAUUGAGGAACUCAGCACGCCGCAAGGCCGGGUACUUGUACCACGUACGUGCUUAGGAUGCUGGCAUAAUGGCUUUAAUCGACCCG
rnacentral:sRNA from 1 species